rnacentral:piRNA from 1 species
UGUCUUCAGUCGUGGGAUCUGACUAUUGU